GACGAACGCUGGCGGCGUGCCUAAUGCAUGCAAGUAGAACGCUGAAGGAGGAGCUUGCUUCUCUGGAUGAGUUGCGAACGGGUGAGUAACGCGUAGGUAACCUGCCUGGUAGCGGGGGAUAACUAUUGGAAACGAUAGCUAAUACCGCAUAAUAUUGACUAUUGCAUGAUAGUCAGUUGAAAGGUGCAACUGCACCACUACCAGAUGGACCUGCGUUGUAUUAGCUAGUUGGUGGGGUAACGGCUCACCAAGGCGACGAUACAUAGCCGACCUGAGAGGGUGAUCGGCCACACUGGGACUGAGACACGGCCCAGACUCCUACGGGAGGCAGCAGUAGGGAAUCUUCGGCAAUGGACGGAAGUCUGACCGAGCAACGCCGCGUGAGUGAAGAAGGUUUUCGGAUCGUAAAGCUCUGUUGUAAGAGAAGAACGAGUGUGAGAGUGGAAAGCUCACACUGUGACGGUAUCUUACCAGAAAGGGACGGCUAACUACGUG
rnacentral:rRNA from 1 species